rnacentral:rRNA from 1 species
CCGGGAAACUCACCAGAUAAGACAGCUGAAUGAUAGUCGGGCUGAAGACUCUACUUGACUAGCUGAGAGGAGGUGCAUGGCCGUCGUCAGUUCGUACUGUGAAGCAUCCUGUUAAGUCAGGCAACGAGCGAGACCCACGCCAACAGUUGCCAGCUCGUCCUCCGGGAUGGUGGGGACACUGUUGGGACCGCCUCUGCUAAAGAGGAGGAAGGAAUGGGCAACGGUAGGUCAGCAUGCCCCGAAUUAUCUGGGCUACACGCGGGCUACAAUGGGUGGGACAAUGGGUAUCGACACCGAAAGGUGAAGGCAAUCUCCUAAACCCAUCCGUAGUUCGGAUUGUGGGCUGCAACUCGCCCACAUGAAGCUGGAAUACUGUAAGUGAUCGUGUCUCAAAAUGGCACGGUGAAUAUGUCCCUGCUCCUU